rnacentral:rRNA from 1 species
AGCAGCCGCGGUAAUUCCAGCUCCAAUAGCGUAUAUUAAAGUUGUUGCAGUUAAAAAGCUCGUAGUUGAAUUUCGGGAUUCUACCGUUGGUCGGGCUAACAAGUCUGUACUGGUGUGUAGAAUUUCUACCUUCUGGGGAACUAUCAUGUUAUUAAUUUAGCGUGGUGGGAAACCAGGACCUUUACCUUGAAAAAUUAGAGUGUUCAAAGCAGGCUUACGUCUGAAUACAUUAGCAUGGAAUAAUAGAAUAGGACGGUGGUCCUGUUUUGUUGGUUUCUGAAUCACCGUAAUGAUUAAUAGGGAUAGUUGGGGGCAUUAGUAUUCAAUUGUCAGAGGUGAAAUUCUUGGAUUUAUUGAAGACUAACUUCUGCGAAAGCAUUUGCCAAGGAUGUUUUCAUUAAUCAAGAACGAAAGUUAGGGGAUCGAAGACGAUCAGAUACCGUCGUAGUCUUAACCAUAAACUAUGCCGACUAGGGAUCGGACGAUGUUAAAUUUUAUUGACUC